AUGGACGAAAGCCCCCAGUGCCGCACCGGCGUUGGCGCCGGAGUCCGCCUGAAGCAGAAACUCGCACAGCUCCUCGUGCGUUCUUCUUGCAUCACCAACGCCACCAAGACCACAACCACCCCGGCCACGGCCUUCGUUAGCCUCGAUAAGGCCGACACCAACCCCCACCAAGAGCCACGACAUUCCCCUGACUUGUGCACCCACUGCACCUAUCAGAGGCCCAACCUUGUGGAAGGCAGCCGCCACCGUCAUCGCAGCGCGUCGGUCGUCCACGCCUCCGUCGACUACCCAGGUAGGGUCUCCGGUCGCCGUCCUGUUCACUCCAUUGUUCCUCUCCUGCCGCCAUCGGUGCAGACGAACGAUGCAAAGAAGAGCACGGGUGCACGCUCUAGGUCGGUGUCAAGGCGGCAUCGCUCAAACUCCUCUUGUCGGCGUCUGCGGCGGCCGCGGAUGAACUCCGUGCCUUACAGCUGCUCUUCGUCCACCGCGACCGACGACGAAAGCGGCGAGGAUGCUGAGACGACGACGCUCUUCUCGUCCCUCAGCUUCUCCUCCGACUCGACCUCCGAGUUUUACCACACCAACAGUGCCAAUGCCUCCAGGAAGAGCCACCGGAACGCGCCCCGCAGAGCGCCCCGGCGCGCGUUGCCAAGUGCCAGGGACCCACCCGAUGCCUUGCAACCGCGGGUUAACUUGGCGACGAAGCACCGCCAGUGCAAGAACAGCAAAAGAGAGGAGGAUGCGAAUGCGAUCAAGAAGAUGCUCGUGGAAGAAACCGGGGCCAUUGGCGUGGGCAUGGCGGUGGUGAAGCGAUCGAGCAAUCCAUACGCAGACUUCCGGAGCUCGAUGGUGGAGAUGGUCGUGGAGCGUCGUAUCGCCAGCGUGGGGAAGAUGGAGGAGCUCCUGGAGUCGUACCUCUCGCUCAACUCGCCGGAGCACCACCCGGCAAUCAUCGCCGCCUUCGAGGACGUCUGGGAGGCCGUCUUCGGCGAGGCGUGA
rnacentral:rRNA from 1 species